rnacentral:rRNA from 1 species
AUGAACGCUGGCGGCGUGCCUAAUACAUGCAAGUCGAGCGAACGGACGAGAAGCUUGCUUCUCUGAUGUUAGCGGCGGACGGGUGAGUAACACGUGGAUAACCUACCUAUAAGACUGGGAUAACUUCGGGAAGCCGGAGCUAAUACCGGAUGAUAUUUUGAACCGCAUGGUUCAAAAGUGAAAGACGGUCUUGCUGUCACUUAUAGAUGGAUCCGCGCUGCAUUAGCUAGUUGGUAAGGUAACGGCUUACCAAGGCAACGAUGCAUAGCCGACCUGAGAGGGUGAUCGGCCACACUGGAACUGAGACACGGUCCAGACUCCUACGGGAGGCAGCAGUAGGGAAUCUUCCGCAAUGGGCGAAAGCCUGACGGAGCAACGCCGCGUGAGUGAUGAAGGUCUUCGGAUCGUAAAACUCUGUUAUUAGGGAAGAACAUAUGUGUAAGUAACUGUGCACAUCUUGACGGUACCUAAUCAGAAAGCCACGGCUAACUACGUG